rnacentral:lncRNA from 1 species
AUGUAAUUUACUUCGGUUACAAACUAUAAAUAACUUCAAGUCUUAAUUAAUUCACAAGUCUCUAUCUAUUUAUAUCAGUCUUCCAUCAAGAUUUUGGAGGAAAAUGAUAAUUUAAUAGUCCCAAGAGACCAAUCUUUGACCUAGAAGCGUCGGUAUGAAAGAUAAGUGCGUCAGAAAGGCAAUCAGUGUUUCAGAAGGAUUAGAUUUUAUAUUUAAUGAGAAAAAUAACCAUAUGACUGUGAAAAUUUGUUAAAGCUAG